rnacentral:rRNA from 1 species
UACGUAGGUGGCAAGCGUUGUCCGGAAUUAUUGGGCGUAAAGCGCGCGCAGGCGGUCCUUUAAGUCUGAUGUGAAAGCCCACGGCUCAACCGUGGAGGGUCAUUGGAAACUGGGGGACUUGGGUGCAGGAGAGAAGAGUGGAAUUCCACGUGUAGCGGUGAAAUGCGUAGAGAUGUGGAGGAACACCAGUGGCGAAGGCGACUCUGUGGCCUGUAACUGACGCUGAGGCGCGAAAGCGUGGGGAGCAAACGGG